GUUAUCUCAAACACAGAUCAAAACAAUAAAUAGCUACUGAGGAGGAUAAAGCUAACACAAGAUAGUUUUGCUCUGUUCUUGUAACAUUCCAACUCCCUACAGACUUUGGGGUUGUUAUCCUGUAAUCCUUGCAGAAGGCCCAGUAGAAGGUGCAAAUUCUUUAAGAACUUCUGUUCAGAAAUUCUAGAGCUUCUGCUCAGGAGUCACCAGACAAGUCAUUGGAAUCUGUACAGCACUGGAUUCUCUUGAGCACCUAUAAAUUUUCGUAACAUCAGCUCCAAUAACCAUCAAGCCUGCAGAGUUUUCCUGUGUCCUUGAUGAACUGCAGUGCAGAUGUUUCUUGUUCAUUACUCUCUACAUCAAUGGAUGACUGCCAUCAAGCACCCUGAGCUCCUCUUUGACCAGAACAGCAAAAUAAAGCAGGCUAAAGUCAUCACAUAAAUGCUACAUUGCAGAAGUUACGUUUCUUUUGUUAAAAGGAGUGAAUUAAUGAAGAAAGAAUGAGUCUACAAGUAAACUCUCAGGUACAGUGCAUGCCUACUGAAUAAAUAAUUGUGAGGGUCACUUAGAAGCUUUGUUCAGAAUUCUUCAGGGUCUGCAUUUCCUCCUUCUCUGCUGAGAAUAUCAAUUGCAUAUGACUCAUCCCUUCAAAGAUAACUGUCUUUGUGGGCAG
rnacentral:lncRNA from 1 species